rnacentral:rRNA from 1 species
CCUUACGUUUCCUCGGCGGGUCCGCCCGCCGAUUGGACAAUUUAAACCAUUUGCAGUUGCAAUCAGCGU